AAAAGAGUCGCAGAAUAUAUAGGGAAGCUAGCUAGGAUUAGCAAUUGACAUGGAAGCAUGGAAACUAGAGAAAUUAGUGGUUAAAGGUGUGUCCUUAAAAAGUUCCCAUAAUGCACUGAUAAGAAGGGAGAGCUACCAUUUCCUGGUGCAGCAGCAAGCAACAAAUCAGGAAUUCAACCCACCCCAACAGUGGUCUGUUCACACUUCUACCAUCUGGCAGGCGUUAUAGAGCCAUUCACACCCUCACCAACAGCCUCCACUUCAUCAUGAUGGCCAAUUUACUGCUGAACUAAGAGAUGAAGAAAGGACACAACUCAACAACAUAACGCUCAGACCUGCCUGAUCCACCCUGAUGCCCUACUUCUGUUCAGAAGUCUCAUCACAUAGAACCCACCUGCUGCUGCUGAGAAUGAACCCCACACGAAGAUCCUGGAGAUACAUGAGAUUAUUCUAGAUGGUGCCACCUACAAUCAGGCUUUGGUCUCAAGUAA